AGAUCUUGCUGCAGCUUCUGUGCUCUCCCCUUUCUUGGAGCCCAGGACAGCCCUCCCUCGACCUCCCCCUUCCCUUCCUUCUUCCCCCUCCCAGUGUCCCUAAAGGGGCCCACCUUCAAGAGCUCCUAGCUGAGCUGAGCUGCUGCCCCCACCCCCAGUCCCAGCAGCUUGCUCUCAGGAGCCUGGGAACCGGAUCAGCCCCAGGGCCACUUCCAGAUGGAAGACGCACCUGCGGCCCACUUCCCUGGUCUGUUUGGCUGAUGGGGGCAGAAAGAAAUGACUGGCGGGGGGGCUCCCCACUGCUCUGAGCCUGAUGUCACAGAGCCUUCUCUCUCCUCCGCCCUUCCCCCUCUGCUCUGAGAGACUAGCCCCGCCCUACAGUGACGUCACUGUACCCACCCUCUCUCACCAUCUUGGAAGUCUUUGUCUCUGGUGGAGGCUAUGAGUGGGGUGAGCAGCUGGAGGUCCGAGUGCCCCCCCACUUUCCUUCUCCACACCCCUCCCCUCCGUUACCCCCAUCUUCCAGACUGACAGAUCCGGAGGGUCCUGCAAGUGUCGAAGUGUCUGUGAGCGAGGGCCUGGUGAAUGGGGAGUUUCCACGUACCUUGCUGUGGAACAGAAAGAGGGGACUGUUCCUGAACCUGCGGAUCUCUGUGAUUUACAGCCUGAAAGAAAAGAGUUGUUUUAAUGUGCACUUCUCUAAUUACAAGGAAUUUGGAGCAUUUUGUCUCCCGUUUGUAGAGGACACUGAGCCAGAAAAGAGGAUGUGCCUCCCUCUUGUCCAGGGUCUGCAAGGUUUAUAUUAUAUAGGAUUUAUGCCAGAGUACCCUCACAUGAACAGCCAGGGCAGACAAGCUGCCUCCCUUGGUGCCCCAAUCUCCCUCACCCCCUUCCCCGCCCAGAUCUUUGUCUCCUUUUGGCGGGAGAAAAGAGGCUGAGUCCCGCCCCUUCCUUAGACCUCCCCCAACACUUUCUCUGCUCUGGGGAUUGUGAGGAAUCCAAGUUCCAUUCACUACUGCUUUGCAGAUGCUGCUGCAGCUACUGUUCUCUUCCCUUUUGUGGAGCCCAGGGCACCCCUCCCUCCCCCUCCGCCAUGCCCUCUUUGUCCUCCCCCUCCCAGUUUGCAUAAAGGGGCCGAUCCUCAAGAACUGCAAGCUGAGCUCUGCUGCCGCUUCCCACCCCAUUCCCAGCAGCCUGUCCUCGUGAACCUGGGACCCUGGUCAGCGCCAGGGCCACUUCCACGUGGAAGAUGCACCUGCGGUCCGCUUCCCUAUUCUGUUUGGGUCAUGGAGGUAGAGAGAAAUGACUGGGAGGGCUCCCCACUGCUUUGGGCGUGAUAUCAGAAACCCCCUCCUCUCCUUCUUUGCUCUGGAGGAGACUACCCUGCUCUGCAGUGACGUCACAGAGUCCGGGCCUGAAGGAGGGGGUGGGGCUCUCCUACCUUCUAUUAAGUGGUGUCCCAUGUAUUCCUCCCUCUCCCUAUCCUCGAGAGCCAUGCCAUGUGAGGAAUGGUAUUUCUUGAUUAGGAAGGAAAAGAAAAGUGAGCACAACUGAUGGAUGCAUUUGGGAAAAGAUGUGCAAUGUGUAACACCUGUGGACCUCUCACCUGGAUGGGGUAGGGUGAUGAUGUCUUCUUACAUUUCCUUUUCAGGCCCACUUCAUCUUUAAUGUUUUGUUAGAGGUACUUUAAAAAUUUUGCUGUGUCGUUCUUUCUACUUCAGUUGUAGUUACUGAGUAUAUAUACUGUUGGGUUGGGUUUUUUGUUUUUACUCAAUUCACUUUGCAUCAGUUCACAAAGGUUUUUCCAUACUUCUCUGUACUCUUCCCACACAUCAUUUCUUCUUGCAUGGGAACAGCAUUCCAUGCCUUUCAUGUUCUUGUCUUGUUCCAUGUCUUAUUUAGCCAUUCCCCCCUUGAUGAGCAUCUGCUUUCUUUACAAAUCAUACCUGUCACAAAGAGUGUUAUUAUAAAUAUUUUGGAAUAUAUGGGGACAUUUUUCUCAUUAAUGGCUCCAUUGGGGUAUAAUGGAGUCUUUGUUUUAGAGGCUUUGGACAUUGUUCUUUGCAGAAUUCCAAAUUACUUUGGAAAAUGGAUGUGUCAUUUCACAGCUCCUCUAAUAUUAGUUUGUGUAUAUCCCUACCCCCCUGUUUAGGUAUCACAAACAUGUUUGUGCCAUAAAAGGAAUUUGAUAGGAUUCCUUCUUUACCUGUUGUUUCAAGUAGUUUAUAUAGUAUUGGGAUGAAUUUUUUUUAAAUGUUUACUAGAAUUCACUUUCACACUUGAUCUGGUCCUGAGAAUUUUUUCCUAGGAAACUGAUGUGUGCCGUGUUCAAUUUUUUUCCUUUAAGACAGUUAUUUAUGUAUUCUAUUUCCUCUUCUGUUAACAUGGGCAGGUCAUGUUUUUUGUAAUUAUUCAUCCGUUUCAAAUAGAUUGUCAGUUUUGCUGGCAUAUGUUUGAGCAAAAAGCUCCUUAGCACUGCUGUAAUUUCAUCUUCAUUGGUGAUGCAUUUACUCUUUGUUUUUGAAACUGGUAAUUUGUU